UACGAGGGGGGCGAGCGUUGUUCGGAAUUAUUGGGCGUAAAGGGUGCGUAGGCGGUUUGGUAAGUCUGAUGUGAAAUCUAUGGGCUCAACUCAUAGUCUGCAUCGGAAACUGCCGGGCUUGAGUGUGGGAGAGGUGAGUGGAAUUCCUGGUGUAGCGGUGAAAUGCGUAGAUAUCAGGAGGAACACCUGUGGCGAAAGCGGCUCACUGGACCAUAACUGACGCUGAGGUGCGAAAGCGUGGGGAGCAAACGGG
rnacentral:rRNA from 1 species